AGGGAAAAUGAACAAGAUAUAGUGGUCUGCGAGGCAAACGUCGCUUGGUUAUAGCGGGGGUGGCUCGGUCGGGCGAAUAGGGGUUAAGUAAGCCCGCUGCAGGGGUUUUCCCCUUACGUGCUGAAUAACCCCACUUCAGCGGUAUCACGUUCUCGUCUUCUUCCAUUUACUGACACGUAUGGUUGGCGCUAAACAUCGUAGGUACGUGAACAAGAAUUCCAUGAUACAGUAAAUAGUUUUCAUUCAUAUUUUUAUGUGGUAAGAUGACAAACAUUUUUUUACAAAUAAAUUACUAUUUCCUGAUAAAACAGAUUAAAGCAGACGAUUACAGCCAUGUUUAACAACUACCAAAGGAAUCGUUUAAAAUGAGAAUAAAAAACACUCCUUUCCUUUGACCGACGACUAAGGUCAAGUUACACGGAGGUGGGAGUCGAACCAUGGUAGCCAGAGUGGGGUACCGAUAGAGGGGUUGAUGGUACAGCGUACCACUAUUGGAAAGCGUUGGUCCGCGUCCAGCCAUGGAAGGGAUCUCUGAAAAAGAAAGAGAUCGCAACAUUAGGGGAAUAAGAAAGGGUAGAGGAGAGUUCGUAAGGCAGAAGGAGAGAGGGCGCAGCACAGCUGGGUCGAACGCGAUCAUGGUAGGGGAAGUCGGUGUCCUCGGAGUCCUCGUUCACACGAGUCACGAGCGUUGCCGUCCGUCAGUACGGCGCGGAACGCGUUCCUGUUUGUCUCGUUGUGUGGAGUCGGUGUCGCGCGUGCCAGUUCUACAGCUUCUCUCCUUCUUUCUCUGUCAGACUACGCAUUUCUUUGUUCAUUAUCGUCGAUCAAGCAGAGAAAGAGAACGACGCGACUGCACGCUGCCGUGUAACACACGUGUGAUAUUGUGGGUAGUUGGUGUGGUGCGACAGGAUGCGGUACAAUGACCGUAAAUGAGUAAUCGACGUCCCUGCGAGAACCGGUUGGAAGGACGAGGAUCACGGCGGAAAGGACGCCCGUGGCAGGACUUCAACCUCUGUGCAUAGGGGUAGGAUCGAUCGGCCGUGAGGACGAAGAAGAGCUGCCG